AUUGAACGCUGGCGGCAUGCCUUACACAUGCAAGUCGAACGGCAGCGGGGACUUCGGUCCGCCGGCGAGUGGCGAACGGGUGAGUAAUGUAUCGGAACGUACCUUUCAGUGGGGGAUAACGUAGCGAAAGUUACGCUAAUACCGCAUAUUCUCUGAGGAGGAAAGUAGGGGACCUUCGGGCCUUGCGCUGAUAGAGCGGCCGAUAUCAGAUUAGCUAGUUGGUGGGGUAAAGGCUCACCAAGGCUACGAUCUGUAGCGGGUCUGAGAGGAUGAGCCGCCACACUGGGACUGGGACACGGCCCAGACUCCUACGGGAGGCAGCAGUGGGGAAUUUUGGACAAUGGGGGCAACCCUGAUCCAGCCAUGCCGCGUGAGUGAAGAAGGCCUUCGGGUUGUAAAGCUCUUUCGGCCGGGAAGAAAUCGUGUGGGCUAAUACCCUGCAUGGAUGACGGUACCGGAAUAAGAAGCACCGGCUAACUACGUGCCAGCCGCCGCGGUAA
rnacentral:rRNA from 1 species